rnacentral:rRNA from 1 species
UAAUACGUAGGGUGCGAGCGUUAAUCGGAAUUACUGGGCGUAAAGCGUGCGUAGGCGGUUUUUCAAGCUUGAUGUGAAAGCCCCGGGCUUAACCUGGGAAUGGCAUUGAGGACUGAGAGGCUAGAGUGCGGCAGAGGGAGGUGGAAUUCCACGUGUAGCAGUGAAAUGCGUAGAGAUGUGGAGGAACACCGAUGGCGAAGGCAGCCUCCUGGGCCGACACUGACGCUGAGGGCACGAAAGCGUGGGGAGCAAACAGGAUUAGAUACCCUGGUAGUCCACGCCCUAAACGAUGUCAACUGGUUGUUGGGGAAGGCAACUUCCUUAGUAACGAAGCUAACGCGUGAAGUUGACCGCCUGGGGAGUACGGCCGCAAGGUUAAAACUCAAAUGAAUUGACGG